rnacentral:rRNA from 1 species
UACAGAGGUCUCAAGCGUUGUUCGGAUUCAUUGGGCGUAAAGGGUGCGUAGGUGGCGCGGUAAGUCGGGUGUGAAAUCUCGGAGCUUAACUCCGAAACUGCAUUCGAUACUGCCGUGCUUGAGGACUGGAGAGGAGACUGGAAUUUACGGUGUAGCGGUGAAAUGCGUAGAUAUCGUAAGGAAGACCAGUGGCGAAGGCGGGUCUCUGGACAGUUCCUGACACUGAGGCACGAAGGCCAGGGGGAGCAAACGGG